rnacentral:SRP_RNA from 1 species
UAUUAUAUAUGGCGCAACAAAAAUAUUGGAAUCAGGUCAGGUUCGGAAGAAAGCAGCCUUAACAAUCCCUUUUUGUGUGCGUCUUUUUUUGAAAUUA